UAUAUGUAGAGGUGGUCCUAUAAAGAAAAGUAUCAACAAUCCAAAUUACGCAUUACCACCGUCAUGUCUAUGUUAGUGUCUGAGUGCUUUGUUAGCUCAGGAAUUAGCAGAGCAUUUCUUUUUAGUUGACUAAUGUUAUCUUCUCCACAAACUCAUUUUUUUCCUCGUUCAUCAAUGUUAGAUUUUCUACAAACUCAUUUUUCUUGUUCAACGAUAACAAUAUCGGCACCCUUUUUUUCACAAAUAAAACAAACUAGAUCUAAUUUGUUUGAAAUUAAGUCUCAUAUGGAAGGAAGAACCGGCUGAUUUAGAGGAGAACAUAUGGAAGGUGAGAAACCUAAUGUUCACCCAUAAAGAUGUUUGACACAUGAUUGAGGUUCUCCUUUGCUGGUACCACACUCUCCAAUAAUGAUAUAGUGUUUGGUGGUGUGUAUUUUUGGAAAAUGAGGUAAACGAAUAAGAUUGACGAUGCAUACAUUGCUAAACAUGAAGAAUUAUACAAGGAUGAAUAUGGAAAUUUCUACACUAAUGAUAUGUCACUGCUCCCUAUUAUGAGCACAUUUUCAGCUGAUGGAACAAUAUGUUAGAAGUUUUACCAGGUUGGAGAAUUAAUGAACUUCUAUAAGAAUAUCUCUAGACAUGAAAAAGGAAGGUUUAUAAUCUCCUUUGUGGCUCUGUUGCCGAAUCAAUCUGACUUUGAAUUAUUUUUUUUUGCUAUGGCUGACUCACACAGACAAAAGGUUGUCACAACUCUUGAAUCUAUGGUCUAUAGAAAAAUUAAAGUCUACAUACACUCUACUCUUUCCACACUCGAUAGUGUGUUCAAUUUGUCUUUAGAGGGUACAAAAUUAAAAAAUAUUAUUUGUACAAAUCUCAUAAUAAAUUAAAGUACUCCUAAGUAAGAACAACUGAGAAAGGGUGUACAUCUUUUUUUUAUUUAUUGAACUGCCUUUAUAUUUGUGUUUA